rnacentral:lncRNA from 1 species
UUGAGGGCACUUGCACUGUGUGCAGUUGUGCUGGCUCAUGCCACAUGACAGGAUAGGAGCCCUGUAGGAAGACAGUGCAGCUUUGUCCAACAGAGUGUGGCCAAGCUGUGCACCCAAGGGCUGCCCUUGCUGGGAGAAAGGCACGCCUUCUUCUUGACACAAAGCCUGGUGAAGCUUUUUCUGCCCACAAAGACAUCUUCUGCAUGCCAAGCCAUCAGCCUGCUUAAGGAACCUGAGCUCCACAGGACUCAAUGAAAAAGCAACUGUAACAGAAGAGAUAG